rnacentral:tRNA from 1 species
AAUGAUAUGCCUGAUUUUAAAAGGGUUACUUUGAUAGAGUAAAUUAUAUGUUUUACAUUAUCAUUA